rnacentral:lncRNA from 1 species
ACUGACUACAGUUGUGCUGGAGAGCUGUUCUGAAUGAGCGUAGACAAUCAAAUGCUUCAUCAAAGCUGAAGUCCAGCUCCUAGGUGGAGGUCACAGUCAUCUUUGGAAGGUGUAACUCUCAGAUUUCCAAGUUUGGACCAUGUGGGCUAAACUCGAAGAAAUUCAGAAAGUCUGAGAAGAGUCUUCAGCCUCUGAAGCUGUUCUAUGUGUAUGUGCCACCACGUGCUCAGUUUUCAAUGGAUGCAAUGGAUGUAAGUCAUGACUCAUUGACACAAACCAGUAAUUUGCAUGCCAAAUUGAAAAACAGUGCCUGAAGACAAAUGCAUAGAGAACUGACCUCAGCCUAGAGAUCUGAUAAAGUAUGCUUAAAAAAACCCACACGUAUUCUUAG